GAUGAACGCUGGCGGCGUGCCUAAUACAUGCAAGUCGAGCGAACAGAUGAGGAGCUUGCUCCUCUGACGUUAGCGGCGGACGGGUGAGUAACAUGUGGAUAACCUACCUCUAAGACUGGGAUAACUUCGGGAAACCGGAGCUAAUACCGGAUAAUAUCUUGAACCGCAUGGUUCAAUAGUGAAAGACGGUUUUGCUGUCAAUUAUAGAUGGAUCCGUGCCGCAUUAGCUAGUUGGUAAGGUAACGGCUUACCAAGGCAACGAUGCGUAGCCGACCUGAGAGGGUGAUCGGCCACACUGGAACUGAGACACGGUCCAGACUCCUACGGGAGGCAGCAGUAGGGAAUCUUCCGCAAAGGGCGAAAGCCUGACGGAGCAACGCCGCGUGAGUGAUGAAGGUCUUCGGAUCGUAAAGCUCUGUUAUUAGGGAAGAACAAGUUUGUAAGUAACUAUGCACGUCUUGACGGUACCUAAUCAGAAAGCCACGGCUAACUACGUG
rnacentral:rRNA from 1 species